rnacentral:miRNA from 7 species
CUAUUCUGGUCAGGCCAGAAAUUUUGCAAGAGCAGGCUUUCUCAUGAUAUUUUGGCACUUAUGCUUCUUUCUGGUCCUGCCUGAAGCC